UACGGGUAGCCGGCCUGAGAGGGCGACCGGCCACACUGGGACUGAGACACGGCCCAGACUCCUGCGGGAGGCAGCAGUGGGGAAUAUUGCGCAAUGGGCGAAAGCCUGACGCAGCGACGCCGCGUGGGGGAUGACGGCCUUCGGGUUGUAAACCUCUUUUACCACCAACGCAGGCUCGAAGUUUUCUUCGGGUUGACGGUAGGUGGGGAAUAAGGACCGGCUAACUACGUGCCAGCAGCCGCGGUAAUACGUAGGGUCCGAGCGUUGUCCGGAAUUAUUGGGCGUAAAGAGCUCGUAGGCGGCGUGUCGCGUCUGCUGUGAAAGACCGGGGCUUAACUCCGGUUCUGCAGUGGAUACGGGCAUGCUAGAGGUAGGUAGGGGAGACUGGAAUUCCUGGUGUAGCGGUGAAAUGCGCAGAUAUCAGGAGGAACACCGGUGGCGAAGGCGGGUCUCUGGGCCUUACCUGACGCUGAGGAGCGAAAGCAUGGGGAGCGAACAGGAUUAGAUACCCUGGUAGUCCAUGCCGUAAACGUUGGGCGCUAGGUGUGGGGACUUUCCACGGUUUCCGCGCCGUAGCUAACGCAUUAAGCGCCCCGCCUGGGGAGUACGGA
rnacentral:rRNA from 1 species